rnacentral:rRNA from 1 species
CUAGCGACUUCAGAGUUUGAUCCUGGCUCAGGAUGAACGCUGGCGGCGUGCUUAACACAUGCAAGUCGAACGAAGAAGAGUUGAAUGAGAGCUUCGGCAGGAUUUCUUCUCAUCUUAGUGGCGGACGGGUGAGUAACGUGUGGGCAACCUGCCCUGUACUGUGGAAUAAUCACUGGAAACGGUGACUAAUACCGCAUGUCAUCACUGGAGGGCAUCCUCCGGUGAAAAAGGAGCAAUUCGGUACAGGAUGGGCCCGCAUCUGAUUAGCUAGUUGGUGAGAUAACAGCCCACCAAGGCGACGAUCAGUAGCCGACCUGAGAGGGUGAUCGGCCACAUUGGGACUGAGACACGGCCCAA